rnacentral:rRNA from 1 species
GACGAACGCUGGCGGCGUGCCUAACACAUGCAAGUCGAGCGAAUGAAAUUCCUUCGGGAACGGAUUUAGCGGCGGACGGGUGAGUAACACGUGGGCAACCUGCCUCAUAGAGGGGAAUAGCCUUCCGAAAGGGAGAUUAAUACCGCAUAAGAUUGUAGUACCGCAUGGUACAGCAAUUAAAGGAGCAAUCCGCUAUGAGAUGGGCCCGCGGCGCAUUAGCUAGUUGGUGAGGUAACGGCGUCACCAAGGCGACGAUGCGUAGCCGACCUGAGAGGGUGAUCGGCCACAUUGGGACUGAGACACGGCCAGACUCCUACGGGAGGCAGCAGUGGGGAAUAUUGCACAAUGGGGGAAACCCUGAUGCAGCAACGCCGCGUGAGUGAUGA